GGAAACUUUCAUGACAUUUUUGUUUCAGCUGUCCCAAUGCUUUGAUCCCUUGCUGCUGGGAUGGGGCGUUUGCAGAAUGACAAUGUCCAGUCAGAUGUUGGGGAUGAGUCUGCGCACCGGGGAAUCCAUGUGGGUCUUUUUAUGAAGAAUAGCCUCGUUGUGCAGCUUAUGAAUUAAUUCAUUCACGCCUUUUAGCUGGUUUUCUUUCCUACAUGAAGCUGCAAUUGAAAUGGACACUUUGUGAUCUGAUCCCCUCUGGCAUGCUCAGAUCAGCCAAGUUGGCAAGGUCUGGCACAGGCUCAUAGGCGAGGCCACAGCAGCUCUUCCGUUGUGACACAGAGCAGGGACAUAGAAGUUGAAGAAGGCCCCACAG
rnacentral:lncRNA from 1 species